rnacentral:rRNA from 1 species
UACGUAGGGGGCUAGCGUUAUCCGGAAUUACUGGGCGUAAAGGGUGCGUAGGUGGUUUCUUAAGUCAGAGGUGAAAGGCUACGGCUCAACCGUAGUAAGCCUUUGAAACUGGGAAACUUGAGUGCAGGAGAGGAGAGUAGAAUUCCUAGUGUAGCGGUGAAAUGCGUAGAUAUUAGGAGGAAUACCAGUUGCGAAGGCGGCUCUCUGGACUGUAACUGACACUGAGGCACGAAAGCGUGGGGAGCAAACAGGAUUAGAUACCCGCGUAGUCCCUGAGCGGG